rnacentral:rRNA from 1 species
GACGAACGCUGGCGGCGUGCUUAACACAUGCAAGUCGAACGGAAAGGCCCUGCUUUUGUGGGGUGCUCGAGUGGCGAAUGGGUGAGUAACACGUGAGUAACCUGCCCUUGACUUUGGGAUAACUUCAGGAAACUGGGGCUAAUACCGGAUAGGAGCUCCUGCUGCAUGGUGGGGGUUGGAAAGUUUCGGCGGUUGGGGAUGGACUCGCGGCUUAUCAGCUUGUUGGUGGGGUAGUGGCUUACCAAGGCUUUGACGGGUAGCCGGCCUGAGAGGGUGACCGGCCACAUUGGGACUGCGAUACGGCCCAGACUCCUACGGGAGGCAGCAGUGGGGAAUAUUGCACAAUGGGCGGAAGCCUGAUGCAGCAACGCCGCGUGCGGGAUGACGGCCUUCGGGUUGUAAACCGCUUUCGCCUGUGACGAAGCGUGAGUGACGGUAAUGGGUAAAGAAGCACCGGCUAACUACGUG